AGCGGCGGACGGGUGAGUAAUGCCUAGGAAUCUGCCUGUUAGUGGGGGACAACGUUUCGAAAGGAACGCUAAUACCGCAUACGUCCUACGGGAGAAAGCGGGGGAUCUUCGGACCUUGCGCUAUUAGAUGAGCCUAAGUCGGAUUAGCUAGUUGGUGAGGUAAAGGCUUACCAAGGCGACGAUCCGUAACUGGUCUGAGAGGAUGAUCCGCCACACUGGAACUGAGACACGGUCCAGACUCCUACGGGAGGCAGCAGUGGGGAAUAUUGGACAAUGGGCGAAAGCCUGAUCCAGCCAUGCCGCGUGUGUGAAGAAGGCCUUCUGAUUGUAAAGCACUUUAAGUUGGGAGGAAGGUCCUUUAGUUAAUACCUUGAUAUUUUGACCUUUCCUACAAAAUUAGCACCCGGUUACUUCGGGCCACCAGCCCCGGGAAUUCCAAAGGUGCAACCUUUAAUCCGAAUUACUGGGCCUAAAACCCGCCUAAGUGGUUC
rnacentral:rRNA from 1 species